UACGGAGGGAGCUAGCGUUGUUCGGAAUUACUGGGCGUAAAGCGCACGUAGGCGGCUUUGUAAGUUAGAGGUGAAAGCCCGGGGCUCAACCCCGGAAUUGCCUUUAAGACUGCAUCGCUUGAAUCCAGGAGAGGUGAGUGGAAUUCCGAGUGUAGAGGUGAAAUUCGUAGAUAUUCGGAAGAACACCAGUGGCGAAGGCGGCUCACUGGACUGGUAUUGACGCUGAGGUGGCGAAAGCGUGGGGAGCAA
rnacentral:rRNA from 1 species